UCUCCUUCCUGCUUUUCAGAUCAAGUGUGCUGAGGAGGAGGGAAGACUUGGAGCAUUUCUUCCAGCAGCAAGAGGCAAUGGGGCAAGGACCAGAGCUAUUUAUGGAAUAGCUGCUAAGGCCAAAACAUAACAGGAGGCUUGGCAGGAGAAGAUGGAGCAGUUUUACCAAGACAAAUAAUGAGCGGAACGUCUGAAGAAAUUGGGCUACAUAGCUACAAGGAGUGGGACUGCCAGAACCCUGUAUUUGGAAAGAAGAGAUAUACAAGAGAAAACACAAAACUAUCGUCAAAGAAGGGUCUGUCUUCAAGGCAAGGGCAGAUCCUCCCAGAAUUAACCAUGAAGAUGUUUUCCUUUAAAUUCUCCAUCUGCUGUCAGGUCCCAGCCAAGUGGGGACAGGACUGAGCUGAAAAUGCAGACCCACCCCACUUGCAUUCUGAAUCCCAGCCAAGGUCACAGAUCAAAAGGUCCUGUAGGAAGCAAAUGUAGGGUCGCAUCUUCCUGAAGUCAGAGGAUGGAUUAUUGAACUGCAACAUGAGCCCACCAGAGUAAAAACUCC